rnacentral:rRNA from 1 species
UACGAAGGGGGCUAGCGUUGUUCGGAAUUACUGGGCGUAAAGCGAACGUAGGCGGUGUUCCAUGUCAGAGGUGAAAGCCUGGGGCUCAACUCCAGAAUUGCCUUUGAAACGGGGACGCUUGAGUCCGAGAGAGGAUGGCGGAAUUCCUAGUGUAGAGGUGAAAUUCGUAGAUAUUAGGAAGAACACCAGUGGCGAAGGCGGCCAUCUGGCUCGGUACUGACGCUCAGGUUCGAAAGCGUGGGGGAGCAAACAGG